AUCCCGGGUUACGCCUUUGCUGUGUUACAACAUGCAACGUUGACCAGGUGAAGCAUUGUAGCAGUGCUAGUCCUCUACCCUGACUAGGGGGGCGGCUUUUCAAAGCCGAAAAGGGGCUCGGCCCUGGUGCAGCCACUUGCUCCCUCUAACUCGGAGCCAUGGAAAGCUAUCUUUGUCGCGCUCCGAUUUAUCUGGAAUGUCUCCUUUGGCAGGUGGAUGUAGAAUAGAUAUAGCUUCUACAUUCAAUCUUUUGUGGAGCAAGAUCUGUUACUUUAUGUCAAACUCAGAGCCAUGAAAAGCUAUCUUUGCGCUCCGAUUUAUCUGGAAUUUCUCCUUUGGCAGGUGGAUGUAGAAUAGAUAUAGCUUCUACUUUCAAUCUUUUGCGGGGCAAGAUAUGUAACUUUAUGUCAAACUUGAAGUCAUGGAAAGCUAUCUUCGUGCUCCGAUUUAUCUGGAAUGUCUCCUUUGGCAUUUCGAUAUAGAAUGGAUAUAGCAUUCAAACAUAGCAUUCAAACGCUAUUUUUUGCGGGGCGAGAUAUGUAAGCCACUGACUGACUGACUGACUGACAGCAAUGAACCCGGGGCCUCACCCAAAAAUGAUUUCGUUUCAGGCCAUUGCCUAG
rnacentral:lncRNA from 1 species